rnacentral:rRNA from 1 species
CUGGCGGCGUGCCUAACACAUGCAAGUCGAGCGGGGACAUGCGACGGAUCGGAAGUUUCGGAUGGAAGAGAAGAUGUAUGUUCUAGCGGCGGACGGGUGAGUAACGCGUGAGCAACCUGUCCUUCACAGGGGGAUAACACAGCGAAAGUUGUACUAAUACCGCAUAAGACCACGAUGGGACAUCCCAAAGGGGUCAAAGGAGCAAUCCGGUGAAGGGUGGGCUCGCGUCCGAUUAGAUAGUUGGUGAGGUAACGGCCCACCAAGUCGACGAUCGGUAGCCGACCUGAGAGGGUGAUCGGCCACAUUGGGACUGAGACACGGCCCAAACUCCUACGGGAGGCAGCAGUGGGGAAUAUUGGGCAAUGGGGGAAACCCUGACCCAGCAACGCCGCGUGAGGGAAGAAGGUUUUCGGAUCGUAAACCUCUGUCCUUGGUGAAGAGGAAGAGACGGUAGCCAAGGAGGAAGCCCCGGCUAACUACGUGCCAGCAGCUGC